CAUAUGACCCUCCAUUCUAAGGCCUCAUUAACACGUUAGUGCCCUGGUCAGCGACCUCCAUCAGCGACUGUGAACCAAAACCAGGCGCGGCUCUAAACACAGAACAGGUGCAGAUCUUUACCCUAUACUUUAUGUCUGUGGAGGCUGCAGUCCUGGUCUUGGCUCACAAUCACCGAUGGACACCACCGACCAAAACACUGAAGCGUGAACGAGGCCUU